AACUAUACAUUUGAAAAAAAAUAAUGUUAAAACGUGUUAAAUAUAAAAAAAAAUUAUAUGAAGUUAGGCCGUUACGCGCGAAUUAUAUUAUUUUUUCGUUUUGCGUCUAUGAUUAUUAUUAAUAAUAAUAUAUAUAUUUUUUUAUGUAGGUCUACAGGUGAAGAAUUGCGAUCGUAAUAUUAAUUAUCAACGCAAGAUGAACGCGAUAAUAAACAGCAAUAUUACGGCGACAUAUAAUCAUUAUCAACAACAGCUACGUCACAACAACAACAACAACAACAAUAACAUAAAUGGGUUUUGCAGACUGCAAAAUAUACACGGAGUAGCAAGCCUCGGAAGAUACUCAACAAUUAUGAAAUACUUUUACGACGAUGACAACGUUUAAUGGAUAACACUCCGAUAUUGUCCUGUCACAGCAGUAAUGUCACUUAUUCGAAUUGUACUGCUGUCGCGGGACAUUUUCGGAGCUGUCAUCCAUCUCUCAAUGACGUUUACCAAAAAUACCAUACGAACAUCACCAUAAUCGCAACAACGCAAUUCAGAGUAGAAGAAAAUAAAUAACAAUUUUUUUUUUUUAAUUUCUUCGUUUAUUUUUUAUUAUUAAUAUGUGAAAUAUUUGUAUUUUGUUUUGAUAAAAUAAUUUUUAUUUUACAUUAAAAUGGGAUUUUACUAUAUUUUCUCAAUACACAAUUAA